rnacentral:rRNA from 1 species
GAUGAACGCUAGCGGCAGGCUUAAUACAUGCAAGUCGAGGGGCAGCGCGGUGUAGCAAUACAUGGGCGGCGACCGGCAAACGGGUGCGGAACACGUACGCAACCUUCCUUUAAGUGGAGAAUAGCCCAGGGAAACUUGGAUUAAUACUUCGUAACAUUAUGAGAUGGCAUCAUCUUAUAAUUAUAGCUCCGGCGCUUAAAGAUGGGCGUGCGUCUGAUUAGGUAGUUGGCGGGGUAACGGCCCACCAAGCCUGCGAUCAGUAACUGGUGUGAGAGCACGACCAGUCACACGGGCACUGAGACACGGGCCCGACUCCUACGGGAGGCAGCAGUAAGGAAUAUUGGUCAAUGGACGCAAGUCUGAACCAGCCAUGCCGCGUGGAGGAUGAAGGUCCUCUGGAUUGUAAACUUCUUUUAUUUGGGAAGAAACCCGGGAUUUCUAUUCCGGUUGACGGUACCAGAUGAAUAAGCACCGGCUAACUCCGUGCCAGCCGCCGCGGUAA